UACGUAGGGAGCAAGCGUUGUCCGGAAUCAUUGGGCGUAAAGCGCGCGUAGGUGGCUUCAUAAGUCCGUUGUGAAAGUCAAAGGCUCACCUUUGAAAGCCGAUGGAUACUGUGGAGCUAGAGUACGGAAGAGGCGAGUGGAAUUCCUGGUGUAGCGGUGAAAUGCGCAGAUAUCAGGAGGAACACCAAUGCGAAGGCAGCUCGCUGGGACGUUACUGACGCUGAGACGGCGAAAGCGUGGGGAGCAAAACGG
rnacentral:rRNA from 1 species